UACAGAGGGUGCGAGCGUUAAUCGGAAUUACUGGGCGUAAAGCGCACGUAGGCGGCUUGGUAUGUCGGGUGUGAAAUCCCCCGGGCUCAACCUGGGAACUGCAUCCGAAACUGCCUUGCUAGAGUAUGGGAGAGGGAAGUGGAAUUUCCGGUGUAGCGGUGGAAUGCGCAGAUAUCAGGAGGAACACCAAUAGCGAAGGCAGCUCGCUGGGACGGUACUGACGCUAAGGUGCGAAAGCGUGGGGAGCGAACAGG
rnacentral:rRNA from 1 species